UAAAUAUCUCAGAAUAAAGAUUAAAUAUCUCAGAAUAAAGACUUAGUAUUUCUAAAUAAAGAGUUAGUAUUAGAGAUGCAUACAUAAGUAAGGAGUUCGAUGAACACAAAAUAUUCUAGACUUCUGUUCUUGGUGAGUUGAAGUGAGCUGCAGCUCCUGGUCGUCUUGUGAUUCCCUCCAUUAGUGCAGCGCUCCGUCUCCUUUCACUCAGCGAGUGACGCUGGAGAAGCUGACCCUGCUGCGAGUCAUCUUGUGUUCCUCGGUGCUGUGAGGAGGAGCUCACUGCUCACUGUGAUCCACGGUGGAGUGGUGCGAUGCUGGGGGGGGACUGGAGCACGGCCAUCGAGCCAUCGGGCCUAACUAGGACAUGUUGAGAAACGGGGCUAGUGGCGGGAGGCGUCUCUCACAGAGACAACUCCACGGAGGGAGGACGAAGUGUCUCUUGGUUCUUUGUUUGCUGCGAUUGAUUCGUGUCACUCGUGCUUAUAAACAAGUUACAAAAGAUUGUUUUUGCAGAAUUCUUAACACUGGUGGUUGGUCCUUGUUGGAGUUUGAUUUAUCAUAAUAGCACCAUCAACUAUAUCUAUUUGUUUAAAUAUAUCUAAAUGUUUGAAACUCACUUAUAUGACAUCCGCAUAUUGAGAACGAGUGAAUAUAGUGUGAUGGUCUGAAUAGGUCAACAUACAGCCUGAGAAAGGAUCGGAGUCUCUUGUAGAUAAACUACUGAGGGGUAGCAGGUGCAGAGCGAGAUGGCGUUCCUACUACACAGGCUGGCAGGCGGACGGUGAGACUGUCAUGGAGAAUGCAAGAGAAGGCCCUGGUGCUGUGAGAGGGAGAGCUGGUCUGAACUAAGAAGAGUCGCGUUAUGCAAGGCGGCACCAGGGAAAGGCUUUCAACUAGAAAGACAAAGUUGACCAUGACACACUGGCACAUGCAAUACACACAUUAGAAACCAUACGAACAUAACUCACACCCACAUGACAGGAAAGACACACACCUGGGAUUUUAAAGGAAAACAGAUGAAGAGCUAAGAAGGGCAAAUCCGGUGUCAGCCACCCUAUAUAAGACUAUGUGAGAACAGAAUAAGUCAGUCAUUGUCCGAGAACCUCGGGUUGUGUUCUUCGCGAGAAUAAACUCUAUUGCAUCGAACUCUGUCUGAUUCCAGUACAGCACACCAAAAGGUAUUAAGUAUAGAAUAAGAAUAGAGUUGGGGAACAGUAGUUUAGACUUCAUCAACUAGUCCGGUCUGAACUUCUUUUCCACGACGUCCUCUGCCUGUCAGACUAUGCUCUGGGUCCAGAGGAUCCUGGUAGUUGGUCCUCUGCCUGUCAGACUUUGCUCUGGGUACAAAGGAUCCUGGUAGUUGGUCCUCUGCCUGUCAGACUACGCUCUGGGUCCAGAGGAUCCUGGUAGUUGGUCCUCUGCCUGUCAGACUUUGCUCUGGGUACAAAGGAUCCUCAUAGUUGGUCCUCUGCCUGUCAGACUACGCUCUGGGUCCAAAGGAUCCUGGUAGUUGGUCGGGAUCCAGCAUUAAUAGAUUUUCUCUAAUUUAUUUUGCAGGACACCAAUGAAAUCGUGGCCAUAAAGAAAUUCAAGGACAGCGAAGAAAAUGAGGAGGUCAAAGAAACGACGCUGCGGGAGCUCAAGAUGCUCCGCACCCUCAAACAGGAGAACAUCGUCGAGCUGAAAGAGGCGUUCAGACGACGAGGGAAACUGUAUCUCGUCUUUGAGUAUGUGGAGAAGAACAUGCUGGAGCUGCUCGAGGAGUUACCCAACGGGGUGCCGACUGACAAAGCGCGCAGCUACAUCUACCAGUUAAUCAGAGCCAUUCACUGGUGCCAUAAA